GGUUAAGCGACUAAGCGUACACGGUGGAUGCCCUGGCAGUCAGAGGCGAUGAAGGACGUGCUAAUCUGCGAAAAGCGUCGGUAAGGUGAUAUGAACCGUUACAGCCGGCGAUGUCCGAAUGGGGAAACCCAGUGCAAUUCGUUGCACUAUCGUUUGAUGAAUACAUAGUCAAACGAGGCGAACCGGGGGAACUGAAACAUCUAAGUACCCCGAGGAAAAGAAAUCAACCGAGAUUCCCCCAGUAGCGGCGAGCGAACGGGGAGCAGCCCGGAGUCUGAAUCAGCUUGUGUGUUAGUGGAAGCGUCUGGAAAGUCGCAGGGUACAGGGUGAUACUCCCGUACACUAAAACGCACAGGUUGUGAACUCGAAGAGUAGGGCGGGACACGUGGUAUCCUGUCUGAAUAUGGGGGGACCAUCCUCCAAGGCUAAAUACUCCUGACUGACCGAUAGUGAACCAGUACCGUGAGGGAAAGGCGAAAAGAACCCCGGCGAGGGGAGUGAAAAAGAACCUGAAACCGUGUACGUACAAGCAGUAGGAGCCCACUUGUUGGGUGACUGCGUACCUUUUGUAUAAUGGGUCAGCGACUUAUAUUCUGUAGCAAGGUUAACCGUAUAGGGGAGCCGCAGGGAAACCGAGUCUUAACUGGGCGUUAAGUUGCAGGGUAUAGACCCGAAACCCGGUGAUCUAGCCAUGGGCAGGUUGAAGGUUGGGUAACACUAACUGGAGGACCGAACCGACUAAUGUUGAAAAAUUAGCGGAUGACUUGUGGCUGGGGGUGAAAGGCCAAUCAAACCGGGAGAUAGCUGGUUCUCCCCGAAAGCUAUUUAGGUAGCGCCUCGUGAAUUCAUCUUCGGGGGUAGAGCACUGUUUCGGCUAGGGGGUCAUCCCGACUUACCAACCCGAUGCAAACUACGAAUACCGAAGAAUGUUAUCACGGGAGACACACGGCGGGUGCUAACGUCCGUCGUGAAGAGGGAAACAACCCAGACCGCCAGCUAAGGUCCCAAAGUCAUGGUUAAGUGGGAAACGAUGUGGGAAGGCCCAGACAGCCAGGAUGUUGGCUUAGAAGCAGCCAUCAUUUAAAGAAAGCGUAAUAGCUCACUGGUCGAGUCGGCCUGCGCGGAAGAUGUAACGGGGCUAAACCAUGCACCGAAGCUGCGGCAGCGAC
rnacentral:rRNA from 1 species